rnacentral:lncRNA from 1 species
CUCUCUAAAAUAUUCUCUCUCUUGAUUGAUUCUCUCUCUAAAAAGGUUAGUGAAUGAAGAAAUUUCUUUUAAUAGUCUGAUCUGAUUCUAAUGAAGAACCCUGAUCCAUGAUUGUCAGACAGCGUACUGGCACCCACCUUGAUCAGACCAUGAAUCUUUAGAUUUGAUUAUCUAUGAUUUCGAUCUAGCCAUGAUUUGAUUUGAUCAUGUUGAUUUCACCACUCGAGAUAUUGGACCAAUCGUAAUGUUGGAUUGUGUCGCCUGAUCAAUUCGAAUUGCACCUCAUAAAUUCUCUCUCCUCUAAUUAUCUCUCUCUACUUGAUUUUAUGAAAUCG